UGGGGAAUAUUGGACAAUGGGGGCAACCCUGAUCCAGCAAUGCCGCGUGUGUGAAGAAGGCCUUCGGGUUGUAAAGCACUUUUGGCAGGGAGGAAGAUGUGGAGUUUAAGAGACACUACGUUUGACUGUACCUGCAGAAUAAGCACCGGCUAACUCUGUGCCAGCAGCCGCGGUAAUACAGAGGGUGCAAGCGUUAAUCGGAGUUACUGGGCGUAAAGGGCGCGUAGGCGGUUGAUUAAGUGAGAUGUGAAAUCCCUGGGCUUAACCUAGGAACUGCAUCUCAUACUGAUUGACUAGAGUAUUGUAGAGGGUAGUGGAAUUUCCGGUGUAGCGGUGAAAUGCGUAGAGAUCGGAAGGAACACCAGUGGCGAAGGCGGCUACCUGGACAAAUACUGACGCUGAGGCGCGAGAGCGUGGGGAGCAAACAGGAUUAGAUACCCCCGUAGUCC
rnacentral:rRNA from 1 species